ACCAAGGGUACAAGGUUGGAUGAAGCCGAGGUGUGUGGAAGUUGUGCCGUCGCUGCCGGGUGGCCCAGUGGCCAAGGAGGAUUCUGCAAGCUGUAUAGGUCGUUUGAGAACACAUGAGGAACUCCUACUACAUUGUUCUGCUGACUAUAUUCCAGCUUUAAGAAAGCCUGGGAAGAGAUUAGGACACUGUCGCACACAGUGGGAAGAACACGUGAGGACACAGUGAAAAGAUGGACAUCUAUCUACAAGCCAAGGAGAGAGGCCUCAGAAGAAACCAACUCUACCAACUUCUAGCCGUCAGAAUGAGUAAAGGGAAAGAACCACGUUACCUGUCAACGCUGAGAGCGCAGAGAUUGAGGACGGUGAUCCCCACUGAGGACUUCUGCAAAAAGGGGAACAACUUGCAGAGAAAUACGCCAAAGUCAUUGUGAUCAAAAGGCCAGCGCCCAGCCAGCAGCUGAAAAAAGGAAAGAGCAUGGGAGAAGCUAAACUAUACGGGAAAUUUGCCCAGUGAGCUAUAAGCACCAUACUGUAAACCCGGGCUAUAAGUAAAAUGCAGGAGAAACCAGUAGGUAAGUGGCUAUUUUAAGCUUCCAGUCAAGGGUCUGUUAUAAAUCAUAGUGUAAAAUGAAGAAUUAAAAGAUUUGAAAAUGAGUUUGAUCCUACUUUGUCUUAUUUCCAGUCAUUUGGAAAUGAGAUAACAUUAAAUUGUAUAAGUCAAGAAUAACAGAUUUUAACCUAGUUUUACUUCUCAGUCUUGAUAUUCGACACAUACUGUAUCUCCAUGGUAAGUAUUUUGUUUAUUUUUAGUGCUACCUAGAACAGAAAACAUACAAAUUUGGGGUCUAAUGUAAUUAGCCUACUAAUUAGCUGGGCUUCCUUUCCUAGACACUUGAGUACUGAGAGAGACUUGUACCAUUUCCUUGAGAUUAGGGCCAAUGUUCUAUUUCCUUUUCAGCUCUCUCAGAACACUUGGUACAUUGUUUUACAUGCAGCAAUUGUCUAAGGAAUACUGACUGCCAUGAAAAUCAGUGACUUAAGCAAAUGUUAUUAAGACAAGUUUGGUAAACAACAUUUAUCUUAGAUAUGAAAAAUUACAUCAUUUUAGACUUUGGACAGGUGCUUAGGGACCAUCUAGAUCAGUGGUUCUCUAAGUGUUGCCUGAGGACCCCUGGAGAUCCCUUUUCACAGUUCAGGAGAACCUUUCAUAGGACCUGCAAGGUCAAGAUAAUGCUGAGAUGACUGCCUUUUCUACUGGUUGACAUUUGCAUUAUUGGUGCAAACUGUUCUAAGAGUCAUUGCAUUCUUCACCAUCACACACUAGCUGUGGAAAAAAGUUGAUGCUGCAAGUAUAAUGGUGAGGACUUCAGCAAGGUCAUAGGCUACCACAGCAAUAUACAAACAUUGGUUGCAUUUGUAUAUACUAGAAAUGAAAAAUGAAAUUGAGACAAUUCCAUUCAAAAUAGCAUCAAAAAAAGAAUAAAAUACUUAGGAAUAAAUUUAACUAAAGAAGUAUAAGACAUGUUUGCUGAAAGCUACCAAAUACUGGAGAAAUCAAAGACCUAAAUAAAUGUUUUUGCAUUGGAAGGAUGAGCAUUGUUAAGAUGGCAAUUUUCUCUAAGUUCAUCCAAAGAGUCAAUACAAUUCCUAGGUAAAUUCAAGGAAAUUAGCAAGUUGAUCUUAAAAUUUAUAUAGAAAUGUAAAGGACCCAGAAUAGCCAAAAAUUUUUUGAAAAAAAAAAUCCAACAAAGUAGGACUUAUAGUACCUGUUUAAAAACUUACUAUAAACUACAGUAAUCAAGGCAGGAUGGUACUGACAUAACAAUAGACACAUAAGUCAUUGGACUAGAAAAGAAAAGACAGAAAUAAACCCUUACAUUUAUCAUCAAUUAAGUUUUAACAAAGGUGCCAAGGCAGUUCUUUGAGGAGACGAUAGUCUUUUCAGUAAAUGGUGUUGGGACAAUUGGAUAUGUGUAUGCAAAAAAGUGAACUUAGAAGCUUACCUCAUAUACUACACAAAAAUUAAUUGUGAUCAUAGAUCUAAAUGUAAUGGCUAAAAUUAUAAAACUGUUAAAAAAACAUAAGAGAAUUUUUUGUGAUUUUGGCUUAGGUAAAGAUUUCAUAGAUAUGACACAGAAACAUGUCCAUAAAAGAAAAAAAUCUGAUAAAUUGGAUUUCAUCAAAAUUUUAAAAUUUUGCUCUUCAAAAGACAGCAUUUAGAAAAUGAAAAG